GAUGAAGAACGCAGCGAAAUGCGAUAAGUAAUGUGAAUUGCAGAAUUCAGUGAAUCAUCGAAUCUUUGAACGCACAUUGCGCCCUCCGGUAUUCCGGGGGGCAUGCCUGUUCGAGCGUCAUUAUAACCACUCAAGCUCUCGCUUGGUAUUGGGGCUCGCGGUUCCGCGGCCCCUAAAAUCAGUGGCGGUGCCUGUCGGCUCUACGCGUAGUAAUACUCCUCGCGAUUGAGUCCGGUAGGUCUACUUGCCAGCAACCCCCAAUUUUUACAGGUUGACCUCGGAUCAGGUAGGGAUACCCGCUGAACUUAAGCAUAUCAAUAAGCGGAGGA
rnacentral:misc_RNA from 1 species